rnacentral:rRNA from 1 species
UUCCUACGGGGCGCAGCAGUGAGGAAUAUUGGUCAAUGGGCGGGAGCCUGAACCAGCCAAGCCGCGUGAAGGAAGAAGGCGCCAGGCGUCGUAAACUUCUUUUGUCGGGGAACAAAGGGCGCCACGUGUGGCGUUGUGAGUGUACCCGAAGAAAAAGCAUCGGCUAACUCCGUGCCAGCAGCCGCGGUAAUACGGAGGAUGCGAGCGUUAUCCGGAUUUAUUGGGUUUAAAGGGUGCGUAGGCGGUCCGGAAAGUCAGCGGUAAAAGCCCGGGCCGGCCGUUGAAACUGGGGAUCUUGAGGGGGG